UUUAUCAGUUAACUCUCUAUACAGGUCUGGAAAAUAGAGUUUUGUUUUGUUGACUUUUAGUUAGGGAUUCAUCGAAACUGAUUCUCAAGUACCAAUUGGUGUCACUCCAUAGUAUAUGGUUGGUUUUUACAUGAUCAAGAGUGGUUCCUGUUCCACUGAAUUUCUCCAUAAUAUGCAAAAGUUUGCUUCUUGGGGCAAUAGGAUGUGGAUCUCAGAUUUUGGGGUAUAUUAGUAUUAAUUAUAGUUCUCCAACACUUGUUAAGGAUGGAAAAGUUAGCUAUAAAGAGUAGAAGUAGCAAUGCUAAGGUAAUGGGAAGCAUAAUAUCAAUAGCAGGUG